UGGGGAAUAUUGCACAAUGGGCGCAAGCCUGAUGCAGCCAUACCGCGUGUGUGAAGAAGGCCUUAGGGUUGUAAAGCACUUUCAGUUGUGAGGAAAGGGGUGUAGUUAAUACCUGCAUCCUGUGACGUUAGCAACAGAAGAAGCACCGGCUAACUCCGUGCCAGCAGCCGCGGUAAUACGGAGGGUGCAAGCGUUAAUCGGAAUUACUGGGCGUAAAGCGCGCGUAGGUGGUUCAGUCAGUCAGAUGUGAAAGCCCCGGGCUCAACCUGGGAACUGCACCUGAUACUGCUGAACUCGAGUACGGUAGAGGGUAGUGGAAUUUCCUGUGUAGCGGUGAAAUGCGUAGAUAU
rnacentral:rRNA from 1 species